rnacentral:rRNA from 1 species
UAGGGAAUCUUCGGCAAUGGACGAAAGUCUGACCGAGCAACGCCGCGUGAGUGAAGAAGGUUUUCGGAUCGUAAAACUCUGUUGUUAGAGAAGAACAAGGACGUUAGUAACUGAACGUCCCCUGACGGUAUCUAACCAGAAAGCCACGGCUAACUACGUGCCAGCAGCCGCGGUAAUACGUAGGUGGCAAGCGUUGUCCGGAUUUAUUGGGCGUAAAGCGAGCGCAGGCGGUUUCUUAAGUCUGAUGUGAAAGCCCCCGGCUCAACCGGGGAGGGUCAUUGGAAACUGGGCGACUUGAGUGCAGAAGAGGAGAGUUGAAUUCCAUGUGUAGCGGUGAAAUGCGUAGAUAUAUGGAGGAACACCAGUGGCGAAGGCGGCUCUCUGGUCUGUAACUGACGCUGAGGCUCGAAAGCGUGGGGAGCAAACAGG